UUUGACGUUAGCUGCAGAAGAAGCACCGGCUAACUCCGUGCCAGCAGCCGCGGUAAUACGGAGGGUGCGAGCGUUAAUCGGAAUUACUGGGCGUAAAGCGCAUGCAGGUGGAUGAUUAAGUCAGAUGUGAAAGCCCGGGGCUCAACCUCGGAAUAGCAUUUGAAACUGGUCAUCUAGAGUACUGUAGAGGGGGGUAGAAUUUCAGGUGUAGCGGUGAAAUGCGUAGAGAUCUGAAGGAAUACCGGUGGCGAAGGCGGCCCCCUGGACAGAUACUGACACUCAGAUGCGAAAGCGUGGGGAGCAAACAGGAUUAGAUACCCUGGUAGUCCACGCCGUAAACGAUGUCUACUUGGAGGUUGUGGCCUUGAGCCGUGGCUUUCGGAGCUAACGCGUUAAGUAGACCGCCUGGGGAGUACGGUCGCAAGAUUAAAACUCAAAUGAAUUGACGGGGGCCCGCACAAGCGGUGGAGCAUGUGGUUUAAUUCGAUGCAACGCGAAGAACCUUACCUACUCUUGACAUCCAUAGAACUUUCCAGAGAUGGAUUGGUGCCUUCGGGAACUAUGAGACAGGUGCUGCAUGGCUGUCGUCAGCUCGUGUUGUGAAAUGUUGGGUUAAGUCCCGCAACGAGCGCAACCCUUAUCCUUGUUUGCCAGCACUUCGGGUGGGAACUCCAGGGAGACUGCCGGUGAUAAACCGGAGGAAGGUGGGGACGACGUCAAGUCAUCAUGGCCCUUACGAGUAGGGCUACACACGUGCUACAAUGGCGCAUACAGAGGGCGGCCAACUUGCGAAAGUGAGCGAAUCCCAAAAAGUGCGUCGUAGUCCGGAUUGGAGUCUGCAACUCGACUCCAUGAAGUCGGAAUCGCUAGUAAUCGUGGAUCAGAAUGCCACGGUGAAUACGUUCCCGGGCCUUGUACACACCGCCCGUCACACCAUGGGAGUGGGCUGCAAAAGAAGUGGGUAGUUUAACCUUCGGGGGGACGCUCACC
rnacentral:rRNA from 1 species